rnacentral:rRNA from 1 species
UACGAAGGGGGCUAGCGUUGCUCGGAAUUACUGGGCGUAAAGCGCACGUAGGCGGCUUUCUAAGUCGGGGGUGAAAUCCUGGAGCUCAACUCCAGAACUGCCUUCGAUACUGGAGAGCUCGAGUCCGGGAGAGGUGAGUGGAACUGCGAGUGUAGAGGUGAAAUUCGUAGAUAUUCGCAAGAACACCAGUGGCGAAGGCGGCUCACUGGCCCGGUACUGACGCUGAGACGCGAAAGCGUGGGGAGCAAACAGG